rnacentral:rRNA from 1 species
GAGUUUGAUCCUGGCUCAGGAUGAACGCUAGCUGGAGGCUUAAUACAUGCAAGUCGAGCGGGAUUGGCGCAGCAAUGCGCCAUGAGAGCGGCGCACGGGUGAGUAACGCGUACACGACCUACCUCUAACAGGGGGAUAGCCCUGGGAAACCGGGAUUAAUACCGCAUAUUAUUCUAAUUUAUAAGUGAGUUGGAAUGAAAGCUGAGGCGGUUAGAGAUGGGUGUGCGUCUGAUUAGCUAGUUGGUAGGGUAACGGCCUACCAAGGCGAUGAUCAGUAGGGGGCGUGAGAGCGUGGACCCCCACACGGGUACUGAGACACGGACCCGACUCCUACGGGAGGCAGCAGUAAGGAAUAUUGGACAAUGGCCGCAAGGCUGAUCCAGCCAUCCAGCGUGCAGGAAGAAGGCCCUAUGGGUUGUAAACUGCUUUUGUCAGGGAAUAAACCCUCGUAUUUAUACGGGGCUGAAGGUACCUGAAGAAUAAGCACCGGCUAACUCCGUGCCAGCAGCCGCGGUAAUACGGAGGGUGCGAGCGUUAUCCGGAAUUACUGGGUUUAAAGGGUGCGUAGGCGGCGCAAGUAAGUCAGGAGUGAAAGUUUGCGGCUCAACCGUAAAAUUGCUUUUGAUACUGCUGUGCUGGAAUUAGGAUGAGGUCAGCGGAAUGUGGCAUGUAGCGGUGAAAUGCAUAGAUAUGCCAUAGAACACCAAUUGCAAAGGCAGCUGGCUAGACCUGGAUUGACGCUGAGGCACGAAAGCGUGGGGAGCGAACAGGAUUAGAUACCCUGGUAGUCCACGCCCUAA